UCUCGAUACCCCCGCUUUCUCGUCCCCUUUCUUCACGCCGCUUGUCGAGUGCCCUUCUUUUCCUCUCGCGGUAUGCGUUCGUGUUUUGCUGCAUGGAAAGCAGCGGCGCGUUAGCUAGAUAGCAUUGCGAGGGAAAAAUGGAAUGUAGACGCGAAGCGACAGCGAGAUUGUACCCACCUGUUGCUCUCGUCACUGCUGAUUUGCUAUAUUUGUGUGCCUGGAGACUUCGUUCACUUCUUGAAGGUGACUGUGGCAGACGUGUGGUUGAGGAGGCGUAGUGCAGCUUGCACUCUCUUACCCACUUACUCGCAGAGGUACACACGCAUCGACAGUCCUUUUCCCGCCUCUUCUCCCUCCUCCUCGACUUGCCCGUCUUUGCGGUUUCUUCUUCGGCGCGUCCGGAAAAGUGGCUGUAGCGGGACCGGGCGUUUGCGCUUUAAUCGUCGUCAUUGCGGUUCAACACCCUGCCGUCACGAAGUGCCAGUCAACAGGUCGCUGGCUGCUCACGGCGGUGUCCUCCGUGCCGAGCACCACUGUCACCACCUCUUCGGGCGGCGCGUCGCGCGAGCUGACUGCGUCGGCGGUGAGGCGGUCGACCUUUGCCCAGCCGGCGCUGGAGGGGCUGCGCAUUGCUGCGUACGCGCCUGCUGAGCCAGGCGUGCUGUCGUCGCAGUGCCGGCUUCACGUGACCAGUGGCCACGCCAUCGCUCAGCUGUCGUCCCUUGUGUUCGCAGUAGACUUCGAUGACAGCCCAUCACCGCCUGCCGUGUCGCUGGGAUCACGCGUCUACGUGGCCUGCGAGCGGGGGGGAUGUGGACCCGACUUCGCAGCAGGGCGAUGGAGGCGUGGGUGGUGCACCAAGUCGCGUCUUCCUGGUGGGCGGCCUCGUCGUGCGAGUGACCCCUACUGGGCCCCUUAGGUGUCCUGCUGGAAAAAAAAAACAAUGUGGAUCUGGCGGUCCCGCCGGAAAAGAUAGUCGUGACGGAGGGCGUGUGCACGUUCCUCAAUGACCUCAAGUACCUGCAGGUCGUGGAGCGGGUGUGCUUCGCCGGGCUCUCGGCGACGGACGACGUGGAGAGCACGGCGUGCAGCCUCUGCACCACCGCGUCUGGCGGGCGGAGCGCCCGUAAAUCCUCGAGGCAUAUGGUAUUCGCAGCACGACGCACCCGACCCAGAGCGCCCGCAUGCCGCUCAUGGAAAAGGCAGCGUGGCAGCGCUACCACCACCGUCAGAUGCGCAACAUUUACAGAAAGCGUGUGAGGAAGCGGGACCGACGGUGCACGCCGGCCAAGUACCCCGGCAUCAUUUCCGUCAGCGUCGCCUUUGCGGUGUCCUCUCGCUGGCUGAGUUGGACUGCAGGACCUACCCGACACAGCAGCUCUCCGACCAGAUGCGCUUUGUGGUGAAGACGCUGCGCAAAAAAGUGCAUCUGGGGCAGCGCGACCACCAUCGGCGCGCCGCUAGCAGCGACGGGUAUGGCAACACCGACGGCGUCCUCUGCUGCGCAUCGCCUCCCGUAGAACGUUUGUCGACUGGCUCAGGUGCGCUGAAUUCGACAGGGAUUUCCCCGAUUCCUCGCAGCGCACCUUGCUAUCUUUGUUAUCACCGGCUACUUUGAGUUUGGCGUAAGCGAGCUAUGCCGCCGGGCACCCCACGUGGAAGGCAUGUCGGCGUCUUCUUUACUGUCCGCAACAAGGAACACAGGCCUCGCAGCGUCGAGGCGCUCGGCGUGGACUCCGUGGGAGGGUGCAUGUCGGAUGGCGAAGGCUGCGAAGGGCGAGGCGCCGUUGCUCAUGCUGAGGCUGCGCGGGGGCAGUAGUUUGCGGCGGGUGUGCGCCCAUGGAGUCGCUCCGCAUGGCGACCGCUUGACUGCCGCGCCGGGACUGCUGCAUGGGGCCCGUGCCCAGCCGCGAGCAGGCGCUCGCCUGCACGCAGCACACCACCGACGCCGUCAGUCGCAAUCAUCUGAUCAACAUCACUGCAGCGAGCGGCAACGGUUUGGCCGAGCUGCUUGCCGCCGUGCAUCCGCGCCGCGUCCCGGCGGCACGACAUGCGAGUCAGCUGCAGGCGACGUGCGCCGACGGCCCGGUGCUGCGGGCCGCGCUGCAGCAGCUCUCCGCCAGCCCCCUACGACGCUGGCCAGCACGCCGGCGGAGACACGGCGGCGCCGCGCAGUGCGGCGCUGGGGGACGUUGUGUUGGACGGUCCCGUAAGGGAUGCGCGGCUGUUCCGCGACAGGCUUUUCCCCGCCGCCUCCCGGCGCUUCUUGCUGUAGACGCGCGGUGAGGUGAGGUGGUGGUGCUGGGGACCUGUGCGAGCGCGUGCGUGUGAGGGGGUGCAUGGGAGUGGACACCGAUGUAGGGGCACUCUCACACGCUGCGACUCACCCCCUUGCCCUCCUCGCGCAAUCGCGCGCAUGCGGGGUCGCUGCUUCUCACACCUGCUCUUUGGCGUUCUUCCCCUUUUCUGUGGUGCAGUCUCUGUGCGCUUACCUUCCGCCUUUAUCCGCCGCGUCUCUCUCUCUCUGUUGCCUGCAGUGAGCGGGGUGAGCGGUGUUGGCGGCUUGUCGCAGCGGUGGCAGCGGUGGGGUGCCGCAUGUGAGGGCCGCGACGAAGGCGGUGCGCGUGUGUGUGUGUGUGCCGCUGCUUCCUCUGCACACGCCUCUCCAAAGGCCUGCCACAGGCGCUCCUACGACGACGCGAAGAAGAGCAACAGGAGACUCCAGGCGAUACGUUCUGCAACGGCGGCCCUUCGCGCCGGCCUUCUCUCGUCCCUCGUCCUCGCUGUGCGCAGCGCCGUUUUUGCGCUACCGAGAGGGAGCAAAGGCGGAGAGGGGAGGAAGAGGAGCACGCUGGGGGUUCGCGGGCUGUUUCCGGUGCGAGACGACUGCACAGCGCAGCAGACGCGGCGCAGGCGGGGGUCAGCGAGGUGGGAGGGAAGCCGACAGGUGAGGGGCGUGGGAGGGGGAGGGGCAGGGCUUGCCCGGAGGGUAGCAGGCAAUGCACCCUGUCCUCUCCGCCUGGCCCCCUUCCCUUGCGCUUCGGUCUCCUGCUCGCUGCCGUUGCGGCAUGUCUCGCAUGCACCUUCCCCCUCUCCUGAUGCUUGUGUGCAUGCCGGCAAAUGGCCCAUGCGCUCCCGCUGUGCACGCCUCGCAGUGCCACUUGCCUGUCUCCUCACCACUGCCUCCCCCCUCCCCCCACAUUUCUCUCCCCGUCUCUCCCUCUUUUCACUCCCGCUCACAUCUCCCAUCCCUCCCCCUCUCAAAACGAACACGCGCGAACCAAUGCAAAACAACACCAUGCGCGUGCACACGCAACGACAACAG
rnacentral:misc_RNA from 1 species